rnacentral:misc_RNA from 1 species
UUUCCGUAGGUGAACCUGCGGAAGGAUCAUUAACACGUUUUACCAAAAACGUUAUCUCCAAAAAUCAUAAACCAAACCGCGAAUUAACUGUAGGUGCACACAAGUGUGUUAACAUUGAGCCUGAUCUUGGGCCAGAGGAUGAAAAUGUAUUGCAUUUUCUCUGUUCUUCAUUACACCAAACGCAGAGGUGGGUGCUGCGGAUGAGGAACAGAUUCUUUUUUCGAACGAAAGAGUCCGCUGUUGUUGAUGCAUGCACCGAUCGUUUUUUUUUCUUACCCCACAUUUCAUUUUAACGCCAAUCAUUUGCUUGUGCUUUUUGCGCAGGCGUUGAUGUUUAAACUAUUUUCUUUUUCUGGGCUAGCUUCUUUUGGAGCAAGCUCAGUUUUUUGUGAAAGCAAGGUAUUCUUGUCUUUUGCAGAAAAUACUCAAAUGCUGAACAACUCUUAGCAAUGGAUAUCUUGGUUCCC